rnacentral:tRNA from 1 species
AAAUAAGAAGCGAAUUAUUGCAAUCAGUUUCGACCUGAAAGUCUGGCUUAAAUGCCCUUAUUUG